rnacentral:rRNA from 1 species
CAUGCAAGUCGAACGGUAACAGGCCGCAAGGUGCUGACGAGUGGCGAACGGGUGAGUAAUGCAUCGGAACGUGCCCAGUCGUGGGGGAUAACGCAGCGAAAGCUGUGCUAAUACCGCAUACGAUCUAUGGAUGAAAGCGGGGGACCGSAAGGCCUCGCGCGAUUGGAGCGGCCGAUGUCAGAUUAGGUAGUUGGUGGGGUAAAGGCCUACCAAGCCGACGAUCUGUAGCUGGUCUGAGAGGACGACCAGCCACACUGGGACUGAGACACGGCCCAGACUCCUACGGGAGGCAGCAGUGGGGAAUUUUGGACAAUGGGCGCAAGCCUGAUCCAGCAAUGCCGCGUGCAGGAAGAAGGCCUUCGGGUUGUAAACUGCUUUUGUACGGAACGAAACGGUCUGGGUUAAUACCCUGGGCUAAUGACGGUACCGUAAGAAUAAGCACCGGCUAACUACGUGCCAGCAGCCGCGGUAAUA